UACGAAGGGGCUAGCGUUGUUCGGAAUCACUGGGCGUAAAGGGCGCGUAGGCGGCUUUAUAAGUCGGGGUGAAAGCCUGUGGCUCAACCACAGAAUUGCCUUCGAUACUGUAGAGCUUGAGACCGGAAGAGGUAAGGUGGAACUGCGAGUGUAGAGGUGAAAUUCGUAGAUAUUCGCAAGAACACCGGUGGCGAAGGCGGCUAUCUGGUCGAGUACGUGACACUGAGACACGAAAGCAUGGGGAUCAAACAGGA
rnacentral:rRNA from 1 species